ACUCCUACGGGAGGCAGCAGGGGGGAAUAUUGCACAAUGGGCGAAAGCCUGAUGCAGCGACGCCGCGUGAGGGAUGAAGGCCUUCGGGUUGUAAACCUCUUUCAGCAGGGAAGAAGCAGCCAGGUUUUCUUGGUUGUGACGGUACCUGCAGAAGAAGCACCGGCUAACUACGUGCCAGCAGCCGCGGUAAUACGUAGGGUGCAAGCGUUGUCCGGAAUUAUUGGGCGUAAAGAGCUUGUAGGCGGUUUGUCGCGUCUGCUGUGAAAUUUCGGGGCUCAACCCCGAACUUGCAGUGGGUACGGGCAGACUAGAGUGUGGUAGAGGAGACUGGAAUUCCUGGUGUAGCGUGAAAUGCGCAGAUAUCAGGAGGAACACCGAUGGCGAAGGCAGGUCUCUGGGCCACUACUGACGCUGAGAAGCGAAAGCAUGGGGAGCGAACAGGAUUAGAUACCCUGGUAGUCCAUGCCGUAAACGUUGGGAACUAGGUGUGGGCCUCAUUCCACGAGGUCCGUGCCGCAGCUAACGCAUUAAGUUCCCCGCCUGGGGAGUACGGCCGCAAGGCUAAAACUCAAAGGAAUUGACGA
rnacentral:rRNA from 1 species